CCUGCCAUGGCCACCUGGCUCCUCUGCUGUGUGAGCCUUGGCCUCAUGUUAGUAGAGCACGCAGAUGCUGGAGUCGCCCAGACACCCAGACACAAGGUGACAAAGAUGGGACAAGCAGUAAGACUGAACUGUGAGCCAAUUUCAGGCCACUAUGACCUUUACUGGUACAGACAGACUUCACUGCAGGAACUGAAGUUCCUGAUUUAUUUCAAUAAUGGAGCUCCAAUAGACAACAGCGGGAUGCCCAAGGACCGAUUCUCAGCUAAGAUGCCUAAUGGAUCAUUCUCCACUCUGAAUAUCCAGCCCACAGAACCCGGGGACUCAGCCGUGUACCUCUGUGCCAGCAGCUUAGCCACAACGCUGUAG